rnacentral:rRNA from 1 species
GAUGAACGCUGGCGGCGUGCCUAAUACAUGCAAGUCGAGCGAACAGACGAGGAUCUUGCUCCUCUGACGUUAGCGGCGGACGGGUGAGUAACACGUGGAUAACCUACCUAUAAGACUGGGAUAACUUCGGGAAACCGGAGCUAAUACCGGAUAAUAUAUUGCACCGCAUGGUUCAAUAGUGAAAGACGGUUUUGCUGUCACUUAUAGAUGGAUCCGCGCCGCAUUAGCUAGUUGGUAAGGUAACGGCUUACCAAGGCGACGAUGCGUAGCCGACCUGAGAGGGUGAUAGGCCACCCUGGAACUGGGACACGGUCCAGACGCCUAAGGGAGGCAGCAGUAGGGAAUCUUCCGCAAUGGGCGAAAGCAUGACGGAGCAACGCCGCGUGAGUGAUGAAGGUCUUCGGAUCGUAAAACUCUGUUAUUAGGGAAGAACAAAUGUGUAAGUAACUAUGCACGUCUUGACGGUACCUAAUCAGAAAGCCACGGCUAACUACGUG